rnacentral:rRNA from 1 species
CUGGCGGCGGCCUACCAUGCUAGUCGAGCGGUAGAGAGAAGCUUGCUUCUCUUGAGAGCGGCGGACGGGUGAGUAAUGCCUAGGAAUCUGCCUGGUAGUGGGGCAUAACGUCCGGAAACGGACGCUAAUACCGCAUACGUCCUACGGGAGAAAGCAGGGGACCUUCGGGCCUUGCGCUAUCAGAUGAGCCCCUAGGUCGGAUUAGCCUAGUUUGGUGAGGUAAAUGGCUCACCCAAGGCGGACGAAUCCCGUUAACUGGGUUUGAGAGGGAUGAAUCAGUUCACACUGGAAACUGGAGACACGGGUCCCAGACUUCCUUAC